rnacentral:siRNA from 1 species
UUAGAAUGAGCUGUACAAUA